GUGGGGGACUUUCCUGGUGAUCCAGUGGUUAAAACAUCCCCUUCCAAUGUAGAGGGUGCAGGUUUGAUCUCUGGUCAGGAAACGAAGGUCCACAUGCCAUGGGGGUGUGUUUAAAAAAAUUUCUUUUUAAUUAUUUUUCACAAGAAUUAUCAUCAGUAAUAUUAGGUAUCAGAAGACAAAAGAAAAUUUCAAAAAUAAUCUGUAAAAUGCCUAAAGGAUGUGGGGGUAUCCAGGUGAUGCUCACUGGGAGAUGUCUGCCCCCGGUAUAUAGCAGCAAAGUGACAAAGUGGUACCCAGCAGAGGGCUGAUGGGAAACUCUUGUGCCCAAUGAACCUUUUAAUUUUUGAAGACAAUUGGUAUUACUAUUCCAUUCCAUGUUUCUCCAGGGGAACUGACAGCACCAUACAUAUUACAGGAUGCAAAUUGAUGCUUGCAGAGGUGAAGAAAAGAAUAUCCAAUUUCAAUCACCAUCAGUACCAAUGUCCCAAAGGCAAAUGCUAUAAUGAGCACUUCCCCCUGAAAAUUCCCAACCUCUGUGACUCCACACUUGUAAGUCUCUGCUCUGGAAAGACUUUAAGCAGGCUUCCAUCCGGGGUCAUUUCUAUAAUUUUUUUGGCUCAAUCAAAAGGUUUUUGAGAUGUACAUGUGUAACUGAACCACUUUGCUAUGUACCUGAAAAUAACACAAUAUUGUUAAUCAGCUAUACUUCAAUAUGAAAAUUUAAAACUUUUAAAUGAUUUUUAACAGCAAAGUCAAGUGAAUGGUGUGUUUAUGGGUCCAGGGAGCCUUACAAAGAACCCUUGAAUAUGAAAAUGUGCAUAUAUGUUUAAUGUAUAACUGAAUCAUUUUGCUGUAUAGCAAAAAUUAGCACAACACUAUAAAUCAACUAUGUCUCAAUAAAAUAAAUUUUUUAAAAAGAGGAAUAACCCUGAGGUCACGCUAUGCUGUAGUUGUCUACUUUAGUUACCUUUAAAGAAGGUCAUGAGAAAAAGAGAUCUCACCGAGGUAACUUAGUGUCAGCAGAGGGACCCAAGGACGGUGUUGCAGGCUUGCUUCACAGGAGGCUAUCUCAGAGUUCAUUUAACUGUGAAUGACCGCGCAACCCAGAGGGACCCCAGGGCCUUUGAACGUGUCCAUCUCUCAGCACCCUGGUGGCUCAUGUGAAUCCACGGGGGACUUAAUGGCUGGCGAGACAAGAUGUACCCCCUUGUCCCACACUUAGGAGAAUUCUCUGCUGGGCCAUCCUCCCUUCAUCAUCUCCUGAAACUUUGUAAUAUACAUCAGGACAACAGGUGAGGAGAGAACUUGAGUAGCUAGAGAGACUUCCUGACAGCACAGAAAGAGAGCAGGUAUGGAAACAGAGGGGUGAGAGAAAGAACAGCCCCUUCCAGGUCUGAGUUCCUAAGACAAGAUUUUCUUGGUGUUUGGGCUGAGGAGGGAGAGACGAUUUGGGUUCCUGGACAUAGGAAUGAGAGAAGGAAAAAGGGCA
rnacentral:lncRNA from 1 species